rnacentral:rRNA from 1 species
GAAAUUGACCGAAUGGACAAUAUGUUAGUUGACCUAGGUGGCAACUGUCCUCCACCGAUUGAUGAAGAACCAACCUCCUGUGCCAAGGCUUUCUAUAGGAUGGUUAGCAAUGCUGAUGAAAUUGUCCAUGAGAACACAACACCCUCGCGUCUUUCUGCAGUAGCUCGUUUGCUAGCACUAAAAUCUCAGUACAAUAUGUCAAUUGCAGAAUAUGAUGAUGUGUUACAAAUCAUCCAUGAACUUAUGCCUCCGGGUGCUAACUUGUCCAAGGACUUCUACCAAUCUAAGAAACUCUUAGAAGGCCUUGGUAUGCCUUAUGUCAAGAUUGAUGUGUGUAAAAAUAAUUUCAUGUUGUAUUAUAAAGAUAAUGAACAUAAAGACAAGUGUGACAUCUUCGGUACAUCUCGCUAUGAGGAAGGCCAGAAUAAAGUCCCACAUAAAGUGUUGAGAUAUCUCCCUCUUAAAGAUAGAUUACAGAGGUUGUAUGCACAGAAAUAUGGGUCUGAGAAGGCUACCACCCUGAAUACGUAUGCUGCAAUGAAAUCUGGAUUAAAGAAUUGGGAUGGCAGUGGCAGCAUCAGUUCCAUCCUCAGCGGGAAGGCAAAAAACGCCACGUAUGUUCUUGCUCAGCCGCACAUCCUG